AUGAACGCUAGCUACAGGCUUAACACAUGCAAGUCGAGGGGCAGCAUGGUCUUAGCUUGCUAAGACUGAUGGCGACCGGCGCACGGGUGAGUAACACGUAUCCAACCUGCCGUCUACUCUUGGACAGCCUUCUGAAAGGAAGAUUAAUACAAGAUGGCAUCAUGAGUCCGCAUGUUCACAUGAUUAAAGGUAUUCCGGUAGACGAUGGGGAUGCGUUCCAUUAGAUAGUAGGCGGGGUAACGGCCCACCUAGUCUUCGAUGGAUAGGGGUUCUGAGAGGAAGGUCCCCCACAUUGGAACUGAGACACGGUCCAAACUCCUACGGGAGGCAGCAGUGAGGAAUAUUGGUCAAUGGGCGAGAGCCUGAACCAGCCAAGUAGCGUGAAGGAUGACUGCCCUAUGGGUUGUAAACUUCUUUUAUAAAGGAAUAAAGUCGGGUAUGGAUACCCGUUUGCAUGUACUUUAUGAAUAAGGAUCGGCUAACUCCGUGCCAGCAGCCGCGGUAAUACGGAGGAUCCGAGCGUUAUCCGGAUUUAUUGGGUUUAAAGGGAGCGUAGAUGGAUGUUUAAGUCAGUUGUGAAAGUUUGCGGCUCAACCGUAAAAUUGCAGUUGAUACUGGAUAUCUUGAGUGCAGUUGAGGCAGGCGGAAUUCGUGGUGUAGCGGUGAAAUGCUUAGAUAUCACGAAGAACUCCGAUUGCGAAGGCAGCCUGCUAAGCUGCAACUGACAUUGAGGCUCGAAAGUGUGGGUAUCAAACAGGAUUAGAUACCCUGGUAGUCCACACGGUAAACGAUGAAUACUCGCUGUUUGCGAUAUACAGCAAGCGGCCAAGCGAAAGCGUUAAGUAUUCCACCUGGGGAGUACGCCGGCAACGGUGAAGCUCAAAGGAAUUGACGGGGGCCCGCACAAGCGGAGGAACAUGUGGUUUAAUUCGAUGAUACGCGAGGAACCUUACCCGGGCUUAAAUUGCAGAUGAAUUACGGUGAAAGCCGUAAGCCGCAAGGCAUCUGUGAAGGUGCUGCAUGGUUGUCGUCAGCUCGUGCCGUGAGGUGUCGGCUUAAGUGCCAUAACGAGCGCAACCCUUGUUGUCAGUUACUAACAGGUCAUGCUGAGGACUCUGACAAGACUGCCAUCGUAAGAUGUGAGGAAGGUGGGGAUGACGUCAAAUCAGCACGGCCCUUACGUCCGGGGCUACACACGUGUUACAAUGGGGGGUACAGAGGGCCGCUACCACGCGAGUGGAUGCCAAUCCCCAAAACCUCUCUCAGUUCGGACUGGAGUCUGCAACCCGACUCCACGAAGCUGGAUUCGCUAGUAAUCGCGCAUCAGCCACGGCGCGGUGAAUACGUUCCCGGGCCUUGUACACACCGCCCGUCAAGCCAUGGGAGCCGGGGGUACCUGAAGUGCGUAACCGCGAGGAGCGCCCUAGGGUAAAACUGGUGACUGGGGCU
rnacentral:rRNA from 1 species